rnacentral:rRNA from 1 species
UACGGAGGGGGCUAGCGUUGUUCGGAAUUACUGGGCGUAAAGCGCACGUAGGCGGACCAUCAAGUUGGGGGUGAAAUCCCGGGGCUCAACCCCGGAACUGCCUCCAAAACUGCUGGUCUGGAGGUCGAGAGAGGUGAGUGGAAUUCCGAGUGUAGAGGUGAAAUUCGUAGAUAUUCGGAGGAACACCAGUGGCGAAGGCGGCUCACUGGCUCGAUACUGACGCUGGAGGUGACGAAAGCCGUGGGGAGCAAACAGG